rnacentral:rRNA from 1 species
UACGUAGGGAGCGAGCGUUGUCCGGAAUUACUGGGUGUAAAGGGAGCGUAGGCGGGGAUGCAAGUUGGGUGUUAAAUCUACCGGCUCAACUGGUAGUCGCACUCAAAACUGCAGCCCUUGAGUGAAGUAGAGGCAGGCGGAAUUCCUAGUGUAGCGGUGAAAUGCGUAGAUAUUAGGAGGAACACCAGUGGCGAAGGCGGCCUGCUGGGCUUUUACUGACGCUGAGGCUCGAAAGUGUGGGGAGCAAACAGG